AGCCCCGUGGUGUAGCGGUCAAACUCUAUUAAUCGCAAGAGGAGAGGACAUCUCAUCCGGCCCUUUGGAGGCCGAGACCCCGGUUCGAAUCCGGGCGGGGCUA
rnacentral:tRNA from 1 species